GAGGAAAGAGGGAGGCGUGCCUAAUACAUGCAAGUCGAGCGAACAGACGAGGAGCUUGCUCCUCUGACGUUAGCGGCGGACGGGUGAGUAACACGUGUAUAACCUACCUAUAAGACUGGGAUAACUUCGGAAAACCGGAUCUAACACCGGAUAAGAUAUUGAACCGCAUGGUUCAUUAGUGAAAGACGGUGGUGCUGUCACUUAUAGAGGGAUCCGCGCCGGAUUAGCUAGUUGGUAAGGUAAAGGCUUACCAAGGCAACGAUGCGUGACCGACCUGAGAGGGUGAUCGGCCACACUGGAGCUUAGCCAGGCUCCAGACGCCUGCGGGAGGCAGCAGUAGCGAAUCUUCCGCAAUGGGCGAAAGCCUGACGCAGCAACGCCGCGUGAGUGAUGAAAGUCUUCGGUGCGUAAAACUCUGUUAUGAGGGAAGAACAAAUGUGUAAGUAACUAUGCCCGUCUUGACGGUACCUAAUCAGAAAGCCACGGCUAACUACGUG
rnacentral:rRNA from 1 species